rnacentral:lncRNA from 1 species
AAAUAUAUGUAUUUUUAUAUUGAAAUAUUAAAAUAAGUGAAAUAAAUUUAGAAUAAUAAUCCUAAUAAUUUUAAUUUCAUAAUAUGCAUCAGGACACCGGCCGAAUCAAUGACCCUGACUUCAAUACUUGUUGAGAAAAGAUACUGUGCCUUUAUCGUUUGCUGUGCUGGUAAAGAGCAGCCCUUCUUACUCAUUCCCUAGUCCCCCAUGUGUCCGAUUCAACAGGAUUCUUGUGACAAUUUGGCUCCUGUUUCAGCCAUUAUUAGAGAUAAGCAAGACCCAGUUCCCAUUAAGGCAAGGACAUGAAGACAUUGAUUUUCUACUCUCUUUAUGAAGAUUGAUUACGCUGGAAAAUUUGUGGGCAUCCAUCCC